rnacentral:rRNA from 1 species
AUGGCAUCCCAGCUGGAGUCACUCAUGAAGCGACUGUGGAGCUAUCUCCCCUCUUCUCUUAGCAGUUCCAGGAGCGACCCUCCGCAGCAGAUUCCUGAUCCCACCGGUGAUCCUCCAGCCGCUCAAGCCGGGGACACUCCCGCCGGUCAGGAGCUUCCACCCGCUCUUCAAGUUUCAGAUCUUGAGCAACUCCAAAGUCUUAACCAUAUAGGACGCCUUGAUGGUGCACUUGAGCCCGAUCUGGCCGGCAAGCCAAAGCUUGGCAGUUCCACCAGUUUCCCUCGACACAAAAUUCAUGAGCCUGUCGGCGAUUACUCCUCUCAGGAAGGAUCACGAAGGCUCGCGAUAGGGCAACCCGAUGGGACCCACCAAGGGCCCGUGCACCGCCGUGGUGUGAGCCUCCCCUAG